GGCUGAAGAACUCUAUCUAUUUGAUAAACAGCAAGUUGACCGUCGGUAUAAACUGUACCGGAAACACUAGUAUUAGUCAACCCCGACGUAAUGUUCACGGUGUCUCCCGACGAGGUAACGUUGAGAGGGAACUUCCCGUCGCCGCUAUCACCGGCUUGGGUUCUUAAAGGGUUACUAAUGGUUUGAAACUGAGCUGAAGAGAGAUAAGUUGGGAUUAUAUGGAAUUG
rnacentral:lncRNA from 1 species